CUUGGACCCUGAAUAAGAUUCUGCAGCUCUGCGGGUGAUCAGGAGCUACUUCUGCCCAUGACCUUGCUCUGUGAUUCAGCACAGGUCCAGCCAGGGAGGCUGGAGUCACAUUGUGGUCGGGAUGACGGAGCUGCCCAUUCCUGCGUGAGUGCACAGAAUGGCACCGAUCUGGACCAAGGUCCUAUCUGAACUCAGUGAAAAGUGGACUCUGGGAGUCGGGAGGCACGGAUGUAUGUUCUGCAAGUAUUCUGAACCCGGGACAGGCUGGUCCACCUACCCUGUAAGGAACCCAUCGCAGCCCUGACAACAGACAGAAGAGAAACCACUUCCAAGCUGAGUUACCAUUGUUUAUCCCACGCUAUGAAAAUCCCCGUUGUGGAAUGAGAAGCAAGCAGAUGGGUGG